GACUUUCAAAGCACAAAGCUCUCUGACAUUUUUUUAUUUUUUAUUUUAAAUUUUUAUUUUGAAUGUUAAAUUUUUUUUUAUAAAAAUUAUCUUCAAUCAUAAAUUUAUUUUAUAGAUUCAAUCGUCAUCAUUUUUGUCGGACUUCGUUUGCCCCAGCAAUCCUGAUGAGAAACGAAAUUCUGCCGUAACUGCUACGAAACACUAAUAAUUUAUAUUGAACUCUCAAAAAAAUUUAAUGUCUCUCUAAUAGUUAGGCUGGUUCACGUGGCCGCCAGCUUUAAUCCACAAAAGAUCCC
rnacentral:lncRNA from 1 species